GCCCAUCCCCGGGCUUCCAGACUCCCACCCGGAAUUCGUUUCUACUCCACCUCCACCACCUAACCCCAUCACUGCUGCAACCCCGAACCUGGGCUCCUGGAUCCACCUCCCCGGCCUCCCGGGGGCAGGUGCUGGCUCUAGUGCUGGUGGCCGCUCUGUGGGGUGGCACACAGCCGCUGCUGAAGCGGGCCUCCUCGCACCUGCAGCAGGUUCAUGAGCGGACCUGGGCCCGGCAGUUGCUGCAGGAGACAAAGACCCUCUUCUUGAAUACUGAGUACCUGAUGCCCUUUUCCCUCAACCAGUGUGGCUCCCUUCUCUACUACCUCACCUUGGCAUCAACAGAUCUGACCCUAGCUGUGCCCAUCAGUAACUCUCUGGCCAUCAUCUUUACACUGAUUGUUGGGAAGGUCCUUGGAGAAGAUAUUGGUGGAAAACGAGCAUUCGCAGGCAUGGUGCUCACCGUGGCAGGAAUUACACUCUGCAUCACAAGCUCAGUGACCAAGACCCAGGGGCAACCAUCUACGCCUUGAGUGGACCAAGGCCACCCUCCGGCUCUGCUGUCUCCAGGAAGCCCCUGGGCCAUGAGGUAGAGGCAGUGAGCAUGCGGACUUAGCCCUCCCACCCCCCUCCACCCCCCAGCCUCAGCUUCCUCAUCUCUUGGGAUAAUAGCUACCUCAUGGAUCGUAGUAAGAGAACAAAAGUGAAAGGGUUUUGUAACUUCCACGUGCUGUUCACCUGCUCAGAUUUAGCACAAGAGACUUCACACUCACCCUCACCCUCAGCAACCUUUCUGCCCCAGCAGCACUCUUUCUGCUGUCAUGUCAGGCCCCAGGCCCCCAGGCCUGCCACUGUUCCUGUGCCUGACCCAGAGUAUCCCAGCAGCUGGUUGGUGGACCGCAGAACUCCAGCUGCAAGAAGAGAGCCAGCUACAGUCUUUGAGCCAGAAAUGCAAACAGGAGGGCUCCAGGGCUCAGCCUUGGCUGGCUGAGGAGGGAACUGAGGGGAAGGUGCAUAAGAACAGCAGACGUUAGGGAGAGGAGUUUGCUGUUAGCCUUGCCUGUCCCUCCUGUGAGGUGGGUGCCGGCCCCUCUCAAACAGAUCGACAUCUAUGGGCCCCCGCACUGCCAGACCCCAACGUAUGGAGCAAUGCCAGGCGAGCAGUAGUCUGUAAUAAAUGUGUAGUAAACAGAUGGAGGUUAGUAAGUAUUCUUUUAUUGGGAUGACCCGCUCCCCAGUUUGUGUUCUUUCCCUGAAGCUCCGUUGGCUACUCAUCUCUCUGGCCGGAGAACCUCAUAAGGAAAUGGCCUCUGUGGCUGGGCUGCUCUGCUCGGAGCGGAAAGGAGGCUGGGCUGUGGGUUUAGGGGCAGAAGAGGGACUGAGGGGCUGCAGCGCACCCUGUGAGCCCAGGGGAGGCCCUGGCUCCUCCAGAACCGGCCGCUGGAGGCUGAGGAUAAAUGGUGGCCGCAGAGUGGCGGUCCCCAGUUCCUGGCUGCAGCUACUGGCUCUCAAGAUGGCGGAGCAGGGGCCGAGGCCGAGGCCGAGAGAGCUGCCCCAGCUCCGGCCGGCUUUCCAGGAUCAGGGCCUCUUCCACUACCUGUGCUGCCCUCUGGAGGAGGCAGAAGGCCACACAGAACAGAGCCAUUAGCACCCCAUGUCCAGCCUCCAGUCCUUAGCCUGGGGUUUGCCCACCCGAGGAAAGGAAGAGACCAGAAAUUAGCAUCUGCCCUCUCAUUCAACAAGGUAGGAAGUCGGGCUCUGAGAGGUUAGGAGAUUUGCUCACAGUCACAAGGGAGAAGAACCGUUUCUGGGACCCAGAGCUGCCCGUUUCCAGCUCAGAACUCCUAUCCCUAACAAAAAUAAACAAAUGGGACCUAAUGAAACUUCAAAGCUUUUGCACAGCAAAGGAAACCAUAAACAAGACCAAAAGACAACCCUCAGAAUGGGAGAAAAUAUUUGCAAAUGAAACAACUGACAAAGGAUUAAUCUCCAAAAUUUACAAGCAGCUCAUGCAGCUCAACAACAACAAAAAACCCAAUCCAAAAAUGGGCAGAAGACCUAAAUAGACAUUUCUCCAAAGAAGAUAUACAGAUUGCCAACAAACACAUGAAAGAAUGCUCAACAUCAUUAAUCAUUAGAGAAAUGCAAAUCAAAACUACACUGAGAUAUCAUCUCACACCGGUCAGAAUGGCCAUCAUCAAAAAAUCUAGAAACAAUAAAUGCUGGAGAGGGUGUGGAGAAAAGGGAACACUCUUGCACUGUUGGUGGGAAUGUAAAUUGAUACAGCCACUAUGGAGAACAGUAUGGAGGUUCCUUAAAAAACUAAAAAUAGAACUACCAUACGACCCAGCAAUCCCACUACUGGGCAUAUACCCUGAGAAAUCAAAAAGAGUCAUGUACCAAAAUGUUCAUUGCAGCUCUAUUUACAAUAGCCAGGACAUGGAAGCAACCUAAGUGUCCAUCAUCGGAUGAAUGGAUAAAGAAGAUGUGGCACAUAUAUACAUGGAAUAUUACUCAGCCAUAAAAAGAAAAGAAAUGGAGUUAUUUGUAGUGAGGUGGAUGGAGCUAGAGUCUGUCAUACAGAGUGAAGUAAGUCAGAAAGAGAAAAACAAAUAUAGUAUGCUAACACAUAUAUAUGGAAUCUAAGG
ensembl:lncRNA